rnacentral:rRNA from 1 species
ACAAGCGGAGGAACAUGUGGUUUUAAUUCGAUGAUACGCGAGGAACCUUACCCGGGCUUGAAAUAGCAUCUGACCGGCCUUGAAAGAGGCACUCCCUUCGGGGCAGAUGUGUAGGUGCUGCAUGGUUGUCGUCAGCUCGUGCCGUGAGGGUGUCGGCUUAAGUGCCAUAACGAGCGCAACCCUCAUCAUUAGUUACCAUCAGGUAAGGCUGGGGACUCUAAUGAGACUGCCAUCGUAAGAUGUGAGGAAGGUGGGGAUGACGUCAAAUCAGCACGGCCCUUACGUCCGGGGCGACACACGUGUUACAAUGGGUGGUACAAAGGGCAGCUACCUGGCGACAGGAUGCUAAUCUCGAAAACCGCUCUCAGUUCGGAUCGGAGUCUGCAACUCGACUCCGUGAAGCUGGAUUCGCUAGUAAUCGCGCAUCAGCCACGGCGCGGUGAAUACGUUCCCGGGCCUU